GGGCCCAUAGUCUAGUGGCACGACGCGACAUUCGCAUUGUCGAGGCGCGAGUUCGAUUCUCGCUGGGUCCACCA
rnacentral:tRNA from 1 species